rnacentral:misc_RNA from 1 species
GAUGAAGAACGUAGCGAAAUGCGAUAAGUAAUGUGAAUUGCAGAAUUCAGUGAAUCAUCGAAUCUUUGAACGCACAUUGCGCCCCUUGGUAUUCCGAGGGGCAUGCCUGUUCGAGCGUCAUUAUAACCCUCAAGCUCAGCUUGGUGUUGGGGCCUGCUGCACUGGCAGCCCUUAAAUCAGUGGCGGCGCCAUCUGGCUCUAAGCGUAGUAAUUCUUCUCGCUAUGGAGUCCUGGUGGAUGCUUGCCAUCAACCCCCAAUUUUUCUAUGGUUGACCUCGGAUCAGGUAGGGAUACCCGCUGAACUUAAGCAUAUCAAUAAGCGGAGGA